rnacentral:rRNA from 1 species
UACGUAGGGUGCGAGCGUUAAUCGGAAUUACUGGGCGUAAAGCGUGCGCAGGCGGUCAUGCAAGACAGAGGUGAAAUCCCCGGGCUCAACCUGGGAACUGCCUUUGUGACUGCAUGGCUGGAGUGCGGCAGAGGGGGGAUGGAAUUCCGCGUGUAGCAGUGAAAUGCGUAGAUAUGCGGAGGAACACCGAUGGCGAAGGC